rnacentral:tRNA from 1 species
UUGGUUGGGGGGACGCUGCCCGGUGGGCAAAUCCUACAGA